AGAGAUACGGUUUAGUCGAUUCUAGGACUAACGUUGUGCGUAUGAGUCUAGCUCUACAUGCCAUAUUAUAUAAUGCGAUAGUGUGAUGACUUCUGACAUUUGAAAACGUGUUUUCCUAUAGUAAAUGGAUACUGACAGAGCUGUAGCUGAUGAUGUCGAGAGUAUAGCACCUGCUCCUGUGCAAGGGAUAGCGCUGGUUGAUUC
rnacentral:lncRNA from 1 species